GCCCGGAUGGUCGCGUGGUCAAAGGCAACUGUCUGCACACCAGUACCAUAGUGGGUUCGAAUCCCACUCCGUGCUCAA
rnacentral:tRNA from 1 species